AUUGAACGCUGGCGGCAUGCCUUACACAUGCAAGUCGAACGGCAGCACGGACUUCGGUCUGGUGGCGAGUGGCGAACGGGUGAGUAAUGUAUCGGAACGUACCUUUCAGUGGGGGAUAACGUAGCGAAAGUUACGCUAAUACCGCAUAUUCUGUGAGCAGGAAAGCAGGGGAUCGAAAGACCUUGCGCUGAUUGAGCGGCCGAUAUCAGAUUAGCUAGUUGGUGGGGUAAAGGCCUACCAAGGCGACGAUCUGUAGCGGGUCUGAGAGGAUGAUCCGCCACACUGGAACUGGUGCACAGUCCAGACUCCUACGGGAGGCAGCAGUGGGGAAUUUUGGACAAUGGGGGCAACCCUGAUCCAGCCAUGCCGCGUGAGUGAAGAAGGCCUUCGGGUUGUAAAGCUCUUUCGGCCGGGAAGAAAUCGCAUAGGCUAAUACCCUGUGUGGAUGACGGUACCGGAAUAAGAAGCACCGGCUAACUACGUG
rnacentral:rRNA from 1 species